GACGAACGCUGGCGGCGUGCUUAACACAUGCAAGUCGAACGGAAAGGCCCUGCUUUUGUGGGGUGCUCGAGUGGCGAACGGGUGAGUAACACGUGAGUAACCUGCCCUUGACUUUGGGAUAACUUCAGGAAACUGGGGCUAAUACCGGAUAGGAGCUCCUGCCGCAUGGUGGAGGUUGGAAAGUUUCGGCGGUUGGGGAUGGACUCGCGGCUUAUCAGCUUGUUGGUGGGGUAGUGGCUUAUCAAGGCUUUGACGGGUAGCCGGCCUGAGAGGGUGACCGGCCACAUUGGGACUGAGAUACGGCCCAGACUCCUACGGGAGGCAGCAGUGGGGAAUAUUGCACAAUGGGCGGAAGCCUGAUGCAGCAACGCCGCGUGCGGGAUGACGGCCUUCGGGUUGUAAACCGCUUUCGCCUGUGACGAAGCGUGAGUGACGGUAAUGGGUAAAGAAGCACCGGCUAACUACGUG
rnacentral:rRNA from 1 species